rnacentral:tRNA from 1 species
GCUUCAGUAGUGUAGUGAUUAUCACGUGCGCUUUACACGCGCAAGGUCCUCGGUUCGAACCCGAACGGAAGCA